GGAACAUUGCAGAAGAGAUGACAAACAUAAUGUACAAGGAGCUGAAGAGGUGAUGGCUCAUUGGUAAAAGCAUUAGCUGUUCUUUCAGAAGGACAAAGUUCAAUUUCCGGUACCCAUGACAGGCUCCUCUGAAUUUGCUGGAGCAGAGUCCUCAGUUUCCCAGCAUCCAGGAGGGGCAAGAUUUCACGGCAUACAGCAACUCCUCAAGAACUUCCCCCCAAUUUUACUGGUACCGACAGGUGCCCAGGGAAGGUCCUGUCAUCCUGACGACGACACCAGUCAGGAGUGGAGAAGUAAAAGAGGAACGGAAGAUAACCGCAGGAGUUUGGUGAAGCAAGGAAGAACAGCUUCCUGUUUGUCGUCAGAGCCCAGCUUAGAAAUGCAGGAAUCUUCUCUGUGCAGGAGCUCACUGCUCUGGUGGCCUCUACUACCUGUCCCCAACCCCUGCAGCUGCAGACUCUUACCACUCUGUCACGAACCUCUAGCUCUUCCUCACCAGCUAUUGGCAUGAGCAAUGGUGGCAUCCCAACCCCUCCUUGCCUCCUGGACCCAUUUUUUCCUGCCUUUCCAGAAAACAUGGACCUCAAACAUGCCUUCUCCUAUAAGAUGAGGCCGUGCAUGUGGCCUCCUUCUAAGAAUCAAUAACAAUGUCAGCAAACAGUCACCCAAGCAUGGGCUUCGCUACAGAAAGAUUCUGACCCAUGAUGUGGUCACGGAUCUCAGGACCGCCUACAGAUGUGUUUCUGAGUAAUGAGUUGUGAUCCCAGAUCUGUUUUCCAUGGUGAUUUCACUGUUGUGGUAAAACCCUAAGGUUCAGUCUUCUCCAGCCUCUUUUCCUCUUGCCGCACAGUCGCACAGCCAUGAAGAAACGUGCAAGUGUAACUGUGACUGCAGCUCCACCUCGGGAGAGCCUCAUGUCACCCCAGAUGAAUCUGGACAUUUUAAAGAGCCAGGAGGCCAUUGAAUCACUUGCUACUGUAGCCAACCUUAGUCCUGACUACAGUAAGAGAUGCUCUGCAGUUUCUCUUUGCAUGUGUGAGUACAGUGGGAGUGUAAGACAUUGUGCUAUUUUGCAAAAUAAGAGAUCUUUUAAUGGAUGUUACAUAUUUCACAAAAUAUUGAUAUUCUUAUAAUGAAAAAAACUCUCAUUAGCAUGACCUUAUUUUUAAAAGCCCACAUCAAUUUCCUACAAUUAUGGAAGACUCUGGGCUCCAGUUUCCUCUAAGUCUUGUGAUUGAGCCAUUAUCAAUAUAAUUUCUCUUCCUCCUCUCCUCCAAGUCCUUCAUCUCACCUCUCCCCCAGACCCUCCCCACCCCUACUCCCCUGUCCAUUGCUCUCCAGAAAAAGGGAGGCCUCCCAUGGAUAUCAACCCUGGCCUAUCAAGUUGCAGUAAGACUAGGCACGUCCUCAUUCUCUCCUAAUGAGGUUAGAUAAAGCAGCCAAGUAGGACGAAAGGGUCCUAAAAUCAGGCAACAGAGUCAGAGACAGCCCCUGCUCCCACUGUUAGGUGUUCCACAUGAAGACCAAACUACACAACUGUACCAUAUGCACAGAGGGCCUAAGUCAGUCCCAUGCAGGCUCCCUGGUAGACCCAGAUUAGUUGACUCUGUGAGUUAUUUUAUGGUACCCUUGACACCCCUGACUCUUAAAAUCCCUCCUUACUUCUGCAGGUUCCCCCAGCUCUGCCUAAUGUUUGGCUCUGGGUCUCUGCAUCUGUUUCCAUUAGUUGCUGGGCGAAGCCUCUCUGUUGACAGUUAUGCUAAGCUCCUGUCUGCAAGUAUAAGAGAACAACUUUAAUGGUGUCAGGGAUGGGCUCCCUCUCAUGGCCUGGGUCCAAGCUUGGCCAGUCAUGGGUCGCCUGUUCCUUCAAUUUCUGCUCCAUCUUUUACCCCCUGCAUAUCUUGUAAGCUGAAUAAAUUGUGAGUUGCAAGUUU